rnacentral:lncRNA from 1 species
GGGCAUGCUGAAGCUGUAAAACCCAGCUGGAGCCUCUAAAUGGGCGGAAGAACACUGAAGGGAAUGGAACACUGGCAAAAAGAGUGAGCUUUGUUAGGAUUCUCUUUGGUCAGCAGGUGUUGCAGGACAGCUGCAUGCUCUGUAGGGAACCCGGGGGGCAGGGAAAAGCCCUGCUGAGGUCGCCGGCAUCUGUUCCUCCCUCUGCAGCUACCUCACGUCCAUUACUUCUGAAUUCUUGGCCGGUUUCUCUCACCUUGGCUGGCAUCUCUGUUGGUCUAGAAGGAUUACGUGGUGGAGUAAAAAGUCUUUUUAUCCCUGAGGGGCCUGAGUCUCUGGGCACUAUAUUCUUCUCAGGCUGUGAUUGCUGCGCUUGUUCAUUUACCAUCAAAAUUAGGAAGGGAAGAACCCCUGGAAGCUCUGAUGGAUCACCUCGGUGCCAAAUCAUUCUCCCCUGCCCCCACUGUGUAAUAGCAGCCGUACUUUUUCCUGAGGAUC